rnacentral:lncRNA from 1 species
UUCAUUUGCACCCUGAACUCUGAAUAGUCACUUUUAAAACAUCCAUCUGUCAUCCAUCUAGUGAGGUCAGGAGAGUGGCUGCUUAACUUCUGGGGGUUGCAGAAAAGGAAGAAGAAUCAGCAGAGAGCAUUUGUGGCCAGCAAAGCUUAAAAUAUUUCCUAACCGAUCCUUUGCAAAAAAAGUUCACCCACUCCUGUAGUCAGCAGCUCCCCUACUGUGCGCAGUCAGUGUGCCAUCUCAGACUAGCAAAGAUUUGUGCUUGGAUCAUCUACACUUCCCUGAAUGUUGAAGAAGAUAUGCUAUCCAUGCAAUCCUUGUCGACUGCUUGAUUAAAAAGUGGAUAAACUGUCUUCAGGCCCUUGGAGUAUGGUGUCUGUGUGAAGAAGGGAAUGAGGCAGAAGUAGCAGUCAGUGGUGGCUGAAGUAGGAGAAAGUGCUUGCUAAUGAAAUCUUGAUUUUUCUGUGGCUUUUCUGUGCAAUUGGGUGGCUAAGUAGGAAAGCCAUUGGAGCUUCACUGUAUCAAUUCUGCCUUUCUUGUUUUUUGGAACUCCAAUUCACCAAGGCUCCCUGCCACCCUAUCCAUCUAUAACUUUUCAUCACUUUUUCCUCAAAGUAAGAAGUGUGUCCCAGAAAAUGUGCCUUUGUGACUCAGCAACAUUUCAAAUCCAUCUGAGCCUUCCCAGCGUUCCAAAAGAAAUACUGAUUUGAAUUCAGCUGCUUAAAAAACCAGUCUCUAAGCAGACAGCUUGAAACUUCCUUACAGCAAUAGUUUAGGCUUUGGAGGGGAAAUUGGUUUGUUUUUAAUUGUUUUAAUUUUUCAUUCAAUUCAUUUGCCGCCUGAUUAUAUAUGAUCUUUUGAGCCCAAUACUCUGCUAAAUUAACCUUGACUUUCUUUCUCUCUUUCUCUCUCUCUCCUUCUCUCUUUCUUCCUUUCUUUCUUUCUUUUUGACAGAGCCUUGCUCUGUCGCCCAGGCUGGAAUGCAGUGGCACAAUCUCAGCUCACUGUAAACUCCGCCUCCAAAGUUCAAGCAAUUCUCCUGCCUCAGCCUCCUGUGUAGCUGGGAUUACACACGCCAGCCACCAUGCCUGGCUAAUUUUUGUAUUUUUAGUAAAGAUGGAGUUUCACCCUCUUGGCCAAGCUGGUCUCGAACUCCUGACCUCAACCUUGGCCUCUCAAAGUGCUGGGAUUACAAGCAUGAGCCACCAUGCCUGGCCUUACCUUGAUUUUUUUUUUUUGAGACAGAGUCUCACUCUGUUGCUCAGGCUGGAGUGUAGUGGCUCGAUCUUGGCUCACUGCAACCUCCAUCUCCCGGGUUCAAGAGAUUCUCCUGCCUCAGCCUCCCAAGUAGCUGGGACUACAGGUGUGGGCCACCACGCCUAGCUAAUUUUUUAUAUGUUUACUAGAGACAGGGUUUCACCAUGUUGGGCAGGCUGGUCUUGAACUCCUGACCUCAGGUGAUUCACCUGCCUCGGCCUCCCAAAAUGCUGGGAUUACAGGUGUGAGCCACCACACCCGGCCCCUACCUUUGAUUUUUAAGUCAAGAGGGAACAAGUCGAAAUUUCUAUUCAGGUAAACUGUAUACCUUUGGACACUGAAUCACUUUUAGAACCCCAGUAAAAAUCAUGUAUGAAUGACCCACAAUUUCACUCCAACAGGAAGGUGUGUAUAUGUGCACAAAAACAUUAGAUUGUUCACACCGGUGCUAUUCAUAAUAGUCAAAAACUGGAAACAACUCAAACAUCCAUCAACUGUAGAAUGGAUAAAUAAAUCAUGAUAUAUUCAUACCAUGGAACAUAACAGUGACAAUAAAUGAACCACUGCUACACACAACAGAUAUGAAUUUCACAAACAGAAUGCUGAGCAACAGAAGCCAAACACAGAAGGAUACACAUUUAUAAAUCCAUUUGUAUGAAGUUCAUAAACAGACAAAAUUAGUCAGUGGAGAUUAUUCUCAUAGAAGUCUGAAGGGUAGUUGUCUUUAGGGAGGGGGAUAUAGUGACUGAGGUGGGUAUAAGGGGUUUCUGGGGUUUGGUGAUGGUACACCAGCAUAUUCACUCUGAAAACUCAUUGAGCUGUGCAAUAAUGAUUUUUCAAACUUUUAUAUGUGUAUGAUAAUGCUUCAAUAAAGCUUUGCUUAAAAACACG